rnacentral:rRNA from 1 species
AGAGUUUGAUCCUGGCUCAGAUUGAACGCUGGCGGUAUGCUUAACACAUGCAAGUCGAACGGAAACGAUACUAGCUUGCUAGUAGGCGUCGAGUGGCGGACGGGUGAGUAACGCGUAGGAAUCUACCAGAUAGUGGGGGAUAGCCCGGAGAAAUUCGGAUUAAUACCGCAUAAUCUCUACGGAGUAAAGGAGGCCUCUAUUUAUAUGCUUUCGCUAUCUGAUGAGCCUGCGUAAGAUUAGCUAGUUGGUGAGGUAAAAGCUCACCAAGGCAACGAUCUUUAGCUGGUCUGAGAGGAUGAUCAGCCACACUGGGACUGAGACACGGCCCAGACUCCUACGGGAGGCAGCAGUGGGGAAUAUUGGACAAUGGGGGCAACCCUGAUCCAGCAAUACCGCGUGUGUGAAGAAGGCCUGAGGGUUGUAAAGCACUUUCAAUUGUGAAGAAA